rnacentral:lncRNA from 1 species
AAAUUGACGUUUAAGCUGGUUGAACAGGGGCAGGACCACUCAUUGCAGCAAGUUCAGUGGAGGUCAACCCGCAUUCACUACGUUUCCGGGGCAGGAUAUUUGCAUUCAAAAUCAGAAUAGAAUUAAAUUUAAAGGAAGAGUCCACAUAUUAUCCUAAGCUUUGCAUUUGGCGAUUUGGAUUGCUCCUUAAACAAGCCUCCUUUCUAGCUUGGCCUCUCAGCAGAGAGCAGAAGAGGGCACGGGCCAUUCACCUGUUAGUAACACAGAACGUGAUCCACAAGUGACUCCUAGCUACAAAGUCAAAGGCAAAAGC